AUAUAACAUACACCCAGCAGGGGCCCCAGGACAGAGACUGUGAAAUCAUGGUCUACAUAGAUACUUGGCAGGGUGACUGUUAAGUUGUGAGUCUGAUAAUGGACACUGGAGGUGAAGGAAUCCGCAUUGGAUGGGGGAAAAGUGUGACACCAAUCAUACCUCCGAGGACUGGAAUUGCCCAGGUCUGCUCUAGAAUGACAGUUAAGGAACAAUGGUGGCCAUCUUGAAGAAUGUGAUGAUAGCAGACUGGGAUAGGGAGAGAUUGAAUAUGGCCAUAAACACACUGGCCAGCUGGUUUUCGCAUGCUCUGAAGACACGGCUAGGCUAGGCCGGCAGCCUUGGGAGGGUAAACACUCUUAAAUGUCUUACUCACAUGGAGAAAGAGAGCCCACAAUCCUUUGUAGCGGGCAGCGUUGUUGGGCACUGUGUUUUCCUCAAAGACGGGCAAAGAAGGUGUUUAGCUUGUCCGGAAGCAAGACGUUGGUGUCCACGACGUGGCUGGUUUUCCUUUUGUAGACCGUGAUUGUAUGUAGACCCUGCCACAUACGUUUCGUGUCUGAGCCGUUGAAUUGCGACUCCACUUUGUCUCAAUACUGACGUUUUGCAUGUUUGCGGAAGGAAUAACUACACUGUCUUUAUUCUGCCAUAUUCCCAGUAACCUUGCCAUGGUUAAAUUCGGUGGUUCGCACUUUCAGUUUUGCGUGAUUGCUGCCAUCUAUCCACGGUUUCAGGUUAGGGUAGGUUUUAAUAGACAUCUCCUAUACACUUCCUGAUAAACUCAGUCACCGUUUCAGUGUGUUCAUCUAAAUUAUUUUCGCAAGCUACCUGGAACAUAUCCCAGUCCAAGUGAUCAAAACAAUCCUGAAGCGUGGAUUCCGAUUGGUCAGACCAUCAUUGAAUGUCCUUAGCACGGGUACUGAGUUUCUGCCUAUAUGAAGGGAGGAGCAAAAUGGAGCCUUGGUCAGAUUUCCCGAAAGGAGGGCGGGCGAGGGCCUUGUAAGCAUCCUGGAAGUUUGAAUAGCAGUGGUCGAGUGUUUACCCCGCUCAAGUACAACAGUCAAUAUGUUGAUAGUACUUCGUCAGCCUAGUCCUCAAAUUUGCUUUGUUAAACUCUUCAGCCACAAACAAUGCAGCCUCAGGAUUUGUGGUUUUCAGUUUGCAUUA